rnacentral:lncRNA from 1 species
UGUACUGUAAACUCAUGUUCUACAGAUUUAAAUGGUGAAGGCAUUCAGAGCUAGGAGAAAACAGCUGUCUGGAUGGGGAGUAUUCUUUGCAGAUGUUAAUUUUCAUGAAGGUGUCUGCAUUUCUUUUAAUAUCACAUCGUGUUUGAACUACCUUAUGAGGAAUGCGGCAGCAACAGCUAUUUAAAUACAGGGCAAGAUGUAAAAAGGAAAGUACCUCCUACAACUGACAUCUCAGAGGGAUUCUGAAGCAUUUAUGUUCAGGCUAUGCGGUUUCUCCCCAUGUGUGAGAGGGAAGGAAGGGCCAGCACACACAGCUGACAAAUGUAACGCUCUUGGCAGCCUGUAACAUGUCACUAAGAAAAUGGAAGAUUCAAGAUUCACGAAGCAGUCCAAACUCUGCUUUUGUUUCCCAUCUGGCUUUUUGCAAAAGAAAAACAAGGCAGCUGACAACGGCCCACAGCAGAUGUCUCUACAGUUCUGCUGAAGGAGCAGCAUGGAUUUAGGGACCAGGCAUUUCAACCCUCCAGGCAGCAGGAUCUCAGCCUCACCGCAGUGAUUUGAAGGCAAUAACUAUGCUGCAUUUCUUCUCAUCCCUUGUCUAAGUACAGAGACAGAAGAUUGGCAUUUUCUUGAGCAAUGUGUUUGGAUGGGUCCUACCCAAUGAGACCUCAAACGAACAACGUGAACAAAAUCAAUCCAUGCGAUUCACCUCGAGAAGCAAAUAAUGACUUAGCCUGUGACCUCACUUUCUCUCAGGACCUUCUUGCCUGGGAAGCAACAACCACACGAGACACUUAGCUGUAUUCAUGCAUCUCACUCUUGCUAGGGCCAGAUUCUACCAAAAAUACUCCAAGCUAUUUUCGGUUUGAUAUUCUCUGGAAGUGAGCCUGGGGCUUCCUUCCACCACAGCCCUUCAGCUCAUGACCUUUUUGGCUCAGGGAUGCUGUAGUAGACUUUCUGUGAGCAGAAGCCAGCAUCAGCCAGGUGCUCCAGGGAGAAGAACUAAAGAUAGCAAGAGAAACUUUGUCAAGGUAGACUCACCGCGGAAGAUAGGAGCAAGCAGUGCACGCAGCCCUUCCCUUCGCUUCAAUGACAAAUCACCAGUACCAAGAGGAUUCUCUCAUCAGAGGGCGAUGGCACAAAGUGAGAUUAAGGUUGCAAGCCAUUUUGCUUUUAUGUGUUCAGCUCAAGAGCAAGGUCAAAGACGUAAGGUCUUAAAACUUUUAAUUAAGUGACAGUGGAAUUAUUCAUUCCCUCCUGGAUUACAUCGAUGCAAUCCAGCAUGAAAACUGCUAUUUGACAUUUCCCUUGGCUUCCACUCCCCGUGGGUGGGGGGACACAAGAAAUUGGUUUGCGGUACGAGCUUGCCACAGCUACUGACAGGGGUGCAAGGCACUUCUGAAAUCUUCUGUGCUCCUGGUUUUACUGAAAUGGCAGAAAAGCACUAAAGCAAGGAAAAAGCAGCAUUACUGCAAUACAAG